GUACCCAAAACAUUCCAUGUAGAUUCACGCCCUUUCGAUUGUCACUCUCAUUAUUUACGCUCUACCUUGCUUAUCUAAUCGGUCCUUCUCAAUCUCCUCAAAUCCUCAUCAAACAAUUCUUUUGUUUUCUAUUAUGCCAUGCAUUCAGUUCAAGAGAAGGCAAGAUUGAAUUUCAGUAUAAGUUAAUUCUCAAUUUGCAAUUGAUUAGAUUUUUUUAUAGGUUUUAAUUUUGGAGUCUACCAAUCCUUUAAUAUCCAGUUCCAGCUCUUCAUCGAGUUUCAAAUGCUCGAUUUCAAGUAGUGCAUCCUUAUCAGAUCAUAUUAUUGUGUGUUCGUCGUCGAUUGGCGAGUUCGACGGAAUCCCCUGGACAUAUUUAUGAAAAUCCUGAAAUUACUUGGAACAAAAGAGAAUUAGCAAGGUCCGUGGGAUUCGAUGUUCUUCAUUGAAGCCAACUUACGGUCCUGUUAUCCUCUUCGGGUUGAUGGACGAAGAAAUGAAUACCUAUGAAAUUUCGGAGCUUAGAAGCUCUCAUAAAGCAACUUUGUUAUCAAAGAAGGAAAAUAAGAUCCAUGGAUUUCUUCCGGUCAGGAUUUUACCCUAGCAGCCCAAAGCAAGACAUACCGUGAAUAGUCAGUCAAAUAUCGGGAGAAGUAUCGCAGUGAGUUGAGAGCAUUGAUGGUGUCAAAAAAAGAAAAUGGAAAGCCACAUUUAGCUUCUACAAAUCCGUUUGUAAAGGUAAUCUUUGUGAAAAUGGAACUACUUAGAACCGUCACAAUGAUAUCCCUCCCCACAACUCUAGGCGGUAAUACUUGAGGUUGCUGGUUUGAAUGGGUUUCAAACACAAGCAACUAAUUUUGUCACCUAUUCAUGUUUACCUGAGAUCACUACUCGUAAAUUGCAGUGGAUUUUGAUCAAAGAUUUCGAUUUUGAUCAAAUCAUGAAGUUGUGGUGUUGUUGGUUGUAUCUGCUCACUCUCUUUGAUUAUCACCACAUGAUGAAAUUGUUAAUAGCAAGGCUAAUGGAAGAAUAAGGCCAGUUUUGGUUGUUUGGACUUGAAA